AGGACGAACGCUGGCGGCGUGCUUAACACAUGCAAGUCGAACGGUAAGGCCUUUCGGGGUACACGAGUGGCGAACGGGUGAGUAACACGUGGGUGAUCUGCCCUGCACUUUGGGAUAAGCCUGGGAAACUGGGUCUAAUACCGAAUAUGACCAUGGGAUGCAUGUCUUGUGGUGGAAAGCUUUUGCGGUGUGGGAUGGGCCCGCGGCCUAUCAGCUUGUUGGUGGGGUGAUGGCCUACCAAGGCGACGACGGGUAGCCGGCCUGAGAGGGUGUCCGGCCACACUGGGACUGAGAUACGGCCCAGACUCCUACGGGAGGCAGCAGUGGGGAAUAUUGCACAAUGGGCGCAAGCCUGAUGCAGCGACGCCGCGUGAGGGACGACGGCCUUCGGGUUGUAACCUCUUUCAGUAGGGACGAAGCGCAAGUGACGGUACCUACAGAAGAAGGACCGGCCAACUACGCGCCAGCAGCCGCGGUAA
rnacentral:rRNA from 1 species